AUGACAGCGGCGGCCCUGCGAGAUGGGACGUCGGCGAGAGAAAAUGCAACGAGAGGAAGGGCAGGCCAUGGAUCGGGCACAUGGAGCUUGAGGCGCCAGAGGAAGGAGGAGGCCAUGGGCACAAGGAACACCUUGGCGCUCACUGGACGGAGCUUGCAGGCGGCGAGGAUGGAGCCAUGCGGGCGGCGGGGCGGCGAGGUGCGCUGGCGAUGA
rnacentral:rRNA from 1 species